rnacentral:rRNA from 1 species
CGUGAAUGAUGAAGGCCUUCGGGUCGUAAAAUUCUGUCAGAUGGGAAGAAGUGUUACAUGUUUAAUAUACAUGUAAUUUGACGGUACCAUCAAAGGAAGCACCGGCUAACUCCGUGCCAGCAGCCGCGGUAAUACGGAGGGUGCAAGCGUUGUUCGGAAUUACUGGGCGUAAAGCGCGCGUAGGCGGCUAUUUAAGUCAGGUGUGAAAGUCCAUGGCUCAACUAUGGAAGUGCAUUUGAAACUGGGUAGCUUGAGUAUUGGAGGGUGUAGUGGAAUUCCCGGUGUAGAGGUGAAAUUCGUAGAUAUCGGGAGGAAUACCGGUGGCGAAGGCGACUACCUGGCCAAAUACUGACGCUGAGGUGCGAAAGCGUGGGGAGCAAACAGGAUUAGGUACCCUGGUAGUCCACGCCGUAAACGAUGUGAACUAGGUGUUGGGAUGGUUAAUCGUCUCAUUGCCGCAGCUAACGCAUUAA